rnacentral:snRNA from 1 species
CACUAGUUCUCUAGUGCAUAUACUAAAAUUGGAACGAAUACAGAGAAGAUUAGCAUGCCCCUGCGCAAGAUGACACGCAAAUUCGUGAAGCGUUCCUCAUUUUG